GGCUGUGCGUCCACAAACCUUGGAUCCGCAGCAUCCAAUGCUGACCCUCUGCAGCAGGGUACACAUCAAGUGGACACACAGUC
rfam:Drosophila ananassae strain TSC#14024-0371.13 Ctg01_18777, whole genome shotgun sequence.